rnacentral:rRNA from 1 species
CUACGGGAGGCAGCAGUGGGGAAUUUUGGACAAUGGGGGCAACCCUGAUCCAGCCAUGCCGCGUGAGUGAAGAAGGCCUUCGGGUUGUAAAGCUCUUUCGGCGGGGAAGAAAUUGCGCGGGUUAAUACCCUGUGUAGAUGACGGUACCCGAAUAAGAAGCACCGGCUAACUACGUGCCAGCAGCCGCGGUAAUACGUAGGGUGCGAGCGUUAAUCGGAAUUACUGGGCGUAAAGCGUGCGCAGGCGGUUUGGUAAGUCAGAUGUGAAAUCCCCGGGCUCAACCUGGGAACUGCAUUUGAGACUGCCAAGCUGGAGUUUGGCAGAGGGGGGUGGAAUUCCACGUGUAGCAGUGAAAUGCGUAGAGAUGUGGAGGAACACCGAUGGCGAAGGCAGCCCCCUGGGCCAAUACUGACGCUCAUGCACGAAAGCGUGGGGAGCAAACAGGAUUAGAUACCCUGGUAGUCC